AUUACUUUGGCAGAUAAGUGUAAUGGAUUUAGAAUUCAUAUAUGUAAUUGAAUUUUACAAGUAAUA
rnacentral:tRNA from 1 species